GCCAUCCUUAGAAGGUGGAUGCAGAGAUCCUGUACAUUUUGUAAUUUGUGUUUUCGGCUGUUACCACUCGGGCAUGUUUCUAGUCAUUUGAACUUUCAGCAUUUAUAUUUUGUACAUAUACAAACUUCAACCAUGUGUGGGGGAUUCACAUGUUCCAAGAAUGCUCUUACAGCGCUCAACAUUAUGUAUAUUAUUGUCUCCUUCAUUCUCAUUGGUGUGGCCGCAUAUGGCCGUGUGUCGAGCAUCGUGACAAACAUCACCAUAUUUGGUGCGGUGAUUGCCUGCGGCGUGUUCCUGCUGCUCCUCUCCCUUGUUGGUCUCAUCGGAGCAGUCAAGCACCACCAAGUGCUGCUCUUCUUUUACAUGGUGAUCCUGUUCCUGCUCUUCGUGGUACAAUUCAGUGUUGCUUGUGCCUGUCUGGCCAUGACGGAGGACCAGGAACGAGAGUUAGCCAGCCAGGGCUGGAAGAAGGCCUCACCUGCCGUCAGAGCCCAAGCAGAGCGCUUAUUCCGAUGCUGUGGCUUUGAACGCAAUGCCUCGGACCCCACAGCGGAGCUACAGUGUGAGCAUGUGCCGACGUGCUGCCCACCACAGGAGAUUCCCCCUAAUGGCACAUGUGAAUGCGAAGGAUGCUGGUCUGCUCUGCAUCAAGCUAUUCGCAAUGGGCUCAAGAUCACAGGUGGCAUAGGAAUGUUCUUCAGCUUCACGGAGUUCAUCGGGGUGUGGUUGACAGUGCGGUACCGCAACCAGAAGGAUCCUCGUGCUAACCCUAGCGCCUUUCUGUAACCACUAACCCCACUAUCCGGUGGCUUCUUGAAAUGGCUCUUUUGCAAGGGGGCUCUCUCUGGCGCCACAAGUUGGUGGCUGUGUUUGUGGCUUACCGUUACCGGCUUCAAAAAGACCCUGAGGUGGAUCCUUACCUUCUGCUGGGUGGAGGAGCUCAUGUCACGUGACAAGCCACCCAUCUGUCUAUGUCUUCUCUGCAUAUUUUCUGACAUUCCCCGCA
rnacentral:misc_RNA from 1 species